rnacentral:rRNA from 1 species
AGCAGCCGCGGUAAUUCCAGCUCCAAUAGCGUAUAUUAAAGUUGUUGCAGUUAAAAAGCUCGUAGUUGAAUUUCGGGGUCAGUAGGUUGGUCAUGCCACUGGUAUGUACUGGCCUCACUGAUUCCUCCUUCCUGAUGAGCCGUAAUGCCAUUAAUUUGGUGUUGCGAGGAAUCUGGACUGUUACUUUGAAAAAAUUAGAGUGUUUAAAGCAGGCUAACGCUUGAAUACAUUAGCAUGGAAUAAUGAAAUAGGACGUUCGAUCUUAUUUUGUUGGUUUCUAAGAUUGACGUAAUGAUUAAUAGGGAUAGUUGGGGGCAUUAGUAUUCAAUUGUCAGAGGUGAAAUUCUUGGAUUUAUUGGAGACUAACUACUGCGAAAGCAUUUGCCAAGGAUGUUUUCAUUAAUCAAGAACGAAAGUUAGGGGAUCGAAGACGAUCAGAUACCGUCGUAGUCUUAACCAUAAACUAUGCCGACUAGGGAUCGGAUGAUGUUAAUUUUUUAAUGACUCA